UACCUGGUUGAUUCUGCCAGUAGUCAUAUGCUUGUCUCAAAGAUUAAGCCAUGCAUGUCUAAGUAUAAGCAAUUAUACAGCGAAACUGCGAAUGGCUCAUUAUAUAAGUUAUCGUUUAUUUGAUAGUACCUUACUACUUGGAUAACCGUGGUAAUUCUAGAGCUAAUACAUGCUAAAAAUCCCGACUUCGGAAGGGAUGUAUUUAUUAGAUUAAAAACCAAUGCCCUCUGGGCUCCUUGGUGAUUCAUAAUAACUUUUCGAAUCGCAUGGCCUUGCGCCGGCGAUGGUUCAUUCAAAUUUCUUCCCUAUCAACUUUCGAU
rnacentral:ncRNA from 1 species